CUCAUUAAAUCAGUUAUAGUUUAUUUGAUGGUCUCUUUUGUCUUUUUUACCUACUUGGAUAACCGUGGUAAUUCUAGAGCUAAUACAUGCGCAAGGUCCCGAGCGCGGGGGGCAGGGCUUCACGGCUUCGUCUCUGCAUGCGCAGAGGGAUGUAUUUAUUAGGUUAAAACCAGCAGCGUCAGCAAUCGGCGUUCACACAACUGGUGAUUCAUAGUAACUCUUUCGGAUCGCAUUCAUG
rnacentral:rRNA from 1 species